rnacentral:rRNA from 1 species
UACGUAGGCAGCGAGCGUUGUUCGGAGUUACUGGGCGUAAAGGGUGUGUAGGCGGUUCUCUAAGUUUGGUGUGAAAUCUCCCGGCUCAACCCGGAGGGUGCGCCGAAAACUGGAGGGCUAGAGUGCGGGAAGGGAGAGUAGAAUUCCUGGUGUAGCGGUGAAAUGCGUAGAUAUCAGGAGGAAUACCGGUGGUGCAGACGGCUCUCUGGACCGAGACUGACGCUGAGACACGAAAGCGUGGGUAGCAAACAGG